rnacentral:rRNA from 1 species
CAGUAGCCGCGGGAAUACGUAGGGUGCAAGCGUUAAUCGGAAUUACUGGGCGUAAAGCGUGCGCAGGCGGUUAUAUAAGUCAGAUGUGAAAUCCCCGGGCUCAACCUGGGAACUGCAUUUGAGGCUGUAUGGCUAGAGUGUGUCAGAGGGGGGUAGAAUUCCACGUGUAGCAGUGAAAUGCGUAGAUAUGUGGAGGAAUACCGAUGGCGAAGGCAGCCCCCUGGGAUAACACUGACGCUCAUGCACGAAAGCGUGGGGAGCAAACAGGAUUAGAUACCCCUGUAGUCCCUGUCUCUUAUAC